AAGCCCCCUGUUUAUGCUUCAGACAGAUACAUCAUAGGCAGCAGCAGUCCAAGCGUCACCUGCGUCACCCCACCAAUGUGCAUCAGACUCAACCCAGAAUGAUCAUCCCUACGAGGGUUGUU
rnacentral:sRNA from 1 species